GACGAACGCUGGCGGCGUGCCUAAUACAUGCAAGUUGAGCGAUGAAGGUUGGUGCUUGCACCAAUUUGAAGAGCAGCGAACGGGCGAGUAACGCGUGGGGAAUCUGCCUUUGAGCGGGGGACAACAUUUGGAAACGAAUGCUAAUACCGCAUAACAACUUUAAACAUAAGUUUUAUGUUUGAAAGAUGCAAUUGCAUCACUCAAAGAUGAUCCCGCGUUGUAUUAGCUAGUUGGUGAGGGAAAGGCUCACCAAGGCGAUGAUACAUAGCCGACCUGAGAGGGUGAUCGGCCACAUUGGGACUGAGACACGGCCCAAACUCCUACGGGGGGCAGCAGGAGGGAAUCUUCGGCAAAGGACGAAAGGCUGACCGAGCAACGCCGGGGGAGGGGAGAAGGGUCUCGGAUCGGAAAACUCUGUUGGUAGGGAAGAACGUUGGUGAGAGUGGAAAGCUCAUCAAGUGACGGUAACUACACAGAAAGGGACGGCUAACUACGUG
rnacentral:rRNA from 1 species